CUUUCUUUCUCAUUCUCUCUCUAACUUGCCAUUCUUAAUAUUUCCUGUCCAUGUAAAUUGAUCUUGUUUUGCAACAUGAAACAUUGUUUUUAUCAUAUAAAAAAGGUAUAUUUCAUCAUAAAUGUUGUGUAAUUAGCUAAUAAUACUUUAACGACGUAUAGCUGAUUAAUAAUGUGAAAUAUAUUUCGCAACGGGUCCCACAAAAUAUAAAGUCUGGAACAUUUCAAUUGGUCGAUUAAUGCUCUACUGAGAUAUGAUUGAAAUAUCUAUUGAAAAAUACCUGACACCGUCCUACCUGGACAAUUUACGUUACAGUCUAUAGACUCAUACAUUCUAUCAAUUUCUGGUGCACGUUCUUUGUACAAAAAAAAAAAAAGAAAAGAAAAGAAAUAAAACCUAUCAAAUUUGUGCGAAAGGAAUUAUGCUUGACGUUCUUUAGUUAAUUAGCAUAAUAUUUGUUGCAUCACAGUAUUGAUUGAUUAUAUUGUUUAACGUCCCUCUCGAGAAUUUAUCAUUUAUGUGGAGACGUCACCACCGCCGGUGAAGGGCUGUAAAAUUUAGGCUUAUACGCGGCGCUUACGGCCUCUUUUUACCGUGCCACAUCUACUGUGACACGGGGCCUCAGGUUUUGCGGUCUCAUCCGAAGGUCCGCCCCAUUUUUUCGCAUCAUACAAAAAGUAAGGGGGUACUGCGGACCUUUUCUAACCCGGAUCAUCUGGGGACACAUCAGAGUAAAAUCUGUCCACAAUAAAAUGUAAUUAGUGGAAAAUGCCAACACAGUUUAUGUCCAAGUAACUGCCGUGUUUGAAAAGAUCGUGUUUUAAUAGUAAAUUCAAGGGGUUUCUCUAGAAGUUCAGCCAGGAAUCUCAAAACUCCACUAAUUACUCCCUGACGAUUCAUAAAUGAAACCACACAAAGCCCAGAUUUAUAAAUCAUUGCUUUCAAAAAGAAGUAUUCUUUGUUUCGUCUAAAAAUUUCCAAGAUCGAAUUGGCGAAAAAAGUUGAUCAGCAACUUGCAGUUAACUUCAAGAGAUUAACCCAUGCAAUUAUUGUCUACGAAUUGAUGGAUGAUCUUUCAAAUAUUGGUUGAAACGCGAGGAGUUUAAUUUGAAUUAUGUUAUAGAAUCUUUAUUGAAGCGAACUAUAUGUAUUAUUUUAAACAAAAGUCUACAAAACAACAUGCAGUGAUUCACCAAUCUUUAAAAAUUGGGUAUUUUCGUUUGUAAAAACCAUCCAUUACCAAUCAAACAGUGUACAGAUAUUGCAUGCUAAUGCGGAAUAUUUCUAGCCAUUCUGUUUGUCUCUCAGAGACCAAGACAAUAGAUUAGUCGUACAUGCUUUAAUAGAAGUCCCGAGGAAAACAAGUUCUUCUCACGUCAAGAAUUUCAGGUUGCUUAGAAAGUUCAUUAUCAGACACUGUUCAACUUGUCCUGUUGUUAACCCCUCCAUGGAAUUGUCGUCAAACUCUUUGAUGGGAUUAUAUCUGACGCUGUACGCAAGCUUGUCCCCAAAUCACAGUCGUCUUUAAAAUAUAAUGUAAGACGAGGAGUUUAUUUUUCCGGCAUUGUUAAUCAACCACAUCGAAGCUUAUGUGGGGCUGAGUUACAGUGAAACCCCAUUAUUCUGUAAAUUAAACUUCGCAACAGGAAUGAUGACAAUUUAGGUCUGACAUAUUGAAAGGUCCAUAUAAUUGUGUAAAUCAAUUUUAGACUGAUCGAUUAACAUCUAAUAAAGAGUAGAUCGACAGUAUUCACUUGAAUUUGAUCAACGAUUUCUAUGGGGACUGUCUCUAUGAUAUCUACACCAUGGCUAUUUUUCAGAAAAUAUAAGUAGGCCAGAUAUGCUGUUAUGGAUUAGGUAAGUGAUAUAUGUACGCAACUCGCAAUAUAUAUUUUGUUGGGAUAGUUUGAGGGUUGAUUGUACCUUGGACAUGAGAGUCGACUUUUUUCGUACGAAAAGCAAAACUAUCCUUUAACACGAUACAAGGUGACUUUCAAACUUCUCAAAAUUCUACCACUCUUAUUGUGAAGAUAAUUUCGCUAUUUAUUACAAACUUCUUAACGGUUUACUGAAAAUUAAAUGCUAUAAUUUGACUCAAUAUUGUCUGUAAACAGUAAAACACAGUUACAGCGAACAUGAUUACGGUGAAUUCACGCUUACAGUGAAGUGAUUUGUUUAUUCCCUGUAUUUGUAAAAUAUGUUAUGAAUUCAUUGGAUAUAACAAAUUAUGUGUACAAUGAAUCAAACUUUUUCGUCCACGACACUUCGUUAUAAGCGUGCUUUACUGUAUACGUUUAAUGGAUAUGCAAGUCCGUGUUUAGGCGAAUUAAGUCCUUUCAGAUGGGAACAAUGCUAGAUGUAUCACCUUGGUCGUGUAAUUACUGUUUUAACUAUCACUGUAACUACCUCCAUUUCAACUUCGCGUAGUUGAUUUAUAUUUUCAAAAAUAAAAUUCUCGAAUGUUUCGAGGUACCAAGAUUAUGAAAAAGUGAAAAUAACGAUCAGUGUUCAAUCUCAUAUUUCCUAAAUAAUACAAAAUUAAGAGCAGGGCAAACACGGACCCUGGACACACCAGAGGUGAGAUCAAGUGUCUAAGGGGAGUAUGCAUCCCCUGCCGACCGGUCACACCCGCCGUGAGCCAUAUAUCUCGAUCAGGUAAACGGAGUUAUCCGUAGUCAAAAUCAAUGUGCCACGAACGGUCUCACAAUUGGUAUAAAAUACGUCAGACAGCAUUUGACCCAAUGAUUGGUUGUAUUGGCAAACUAGAUCGUUAUAACGACCACAGAAUUUGCGAAAUGCUGACUUUAAACGAGACUGUUGAAACCCCAUUACGAUCAACUUGUUUGUCAGUAGCCUGCCUCGAUUUAAAAACUGACCAUACGCAGAACAAGCUCUUGCGUAUCUAACCAGUAGAGAGAUAUAAACCAAAUGCAGGUGAUAAUGGAAUAUUGCUACAUAAAUAUGGGAAGUUGACGAUGGAGAAGCUGAAAUCAUCCCGUUUGUCAUACAGUUGAGUUGUCAGUUUGUCGUUAAUAUCUACUCUCGAUACAAUAUCUAAGUAUGAACAGAAGUGAACGACUCUGCGGUGUCUUUUAUUUCGAUCUCGCAGGGAUAUAUCGAAUCGACAUAUGAUAAAGAACAAUAUCGCACCUGACGAUUAUGUGUAGAUAAAUUAAAUUAUAAUGGAUAUGUCUGGGAGGAGAUGAUGACAAUGUACUGGUUGGUUGUAUAUUGUUUAACGUCUUGCUCGAGAAUCUUUCUUUCCUAUGGGGACCUCACCAUCGCCAGUGAAGGCCUAUGUUCGGCGCUUAUGGCCUUCGAGCAUGAGGGGUCUUUAUUGUGCCACACCUGCGGUGACACGGGGUCUCGGUUUUUGCGAUCUCAUCCGAAGGACCGCCCCAUUUAGUUGCCUCUUACGACAAGCAAGGGGUACUGAGGACCUAUUCUAACCAGGGUCUUCACGGGAUAACUAUGUACUGUACGCGAAAAGUGUUAUAAUUUUCAUUUAAGAAAUAAGAUAUCAUUUUUGAAUGUUGUUGGGAUAUGACCUGAAGUUGGUCACGUGAUCAAAUCCUAUAACGCCCGAAGGGCGUUAUAAUAGAUUUGAUCACGUUCCAACUUCAUGUCAUAUCCCAAUAACAUUCAAAAACGAUAUUUUGUUUCUUAUAUUUUCUAUUUUGAUUUGUGUUCUUACCGAGCUUCCAUGAUUAUGUAGCAGAUGACCAAAAUAACGAUCGUAGAACACAAAAUAUAGUUCGUAAGAGUUUUCACGAAUAAAAAAUUAGGAACAAUAUCAAAGAGAAUGUAAGAUAUAGAUAUUUAAUUGAAAAUGUUUUAAAAAAGACGAAACAUGUGUAAAAAUAAAGGUAAUUUAGAGCGUAAAGUUAACUGAAAUGACAAGAAGAGCGGAGUAAACUACAUCCGUGGUGUGAUUUGGUCGCGAUCAGCGAUGGGGAAACUGGCGUCGGUCUAGCUUACUAAGUUGAAAACGCAAUUGUUGAUCACAGAUUUCGACAGAAAUUCAAAGGAUCUGAGAGAAUUGAUGGUGGAUAUGAUGGGUCAAGUUAACGUUAAGCUCUUAGUCAGGUUUUUUUUGAAAGAAACAACAGUAUGUUCAUCGUUAGGACUCGCGGUUGUAGCCAUGCCGGGGACGAUUCGAGACAGUAGGACAUAUUUAGACCAAGUGCAGGAUUUUAAUGAAGACUCGCACCGGUUACCUGACAUGAACAUGUAAAUUUUUCGAGCCUCGAAACCAGCCUCGCUUAUAAUCAUGCCGAGUCAUAAUCGUGAUGGAAGUUGCCAGGAAACAACAGGUUAACUUAUCAUCAUGAAGUAAAUACAUGUAGGCUUAUAACUCUGCCUACAUGUUUUCGCUUCCAAUAUCAUAGAACUUUAUUUUAUAAAUUCGCCAUGCAGAAGUUGGAGACGGUAUUUAAAACUGUAUAAAAUGAAACAACAGAACGAUAUAUGUUUAAUGUUUCUCUUUUAUAAAUUGAUGAAAUUCUUGUUUGCUUACAAAAUAAACUGUAU